UCUCCGUUGGUGAACCUGCGGAGGGAUCACUAUUGUAUAAUCCUGCUCCGAAACCUCUCGCUACCCCUAACUGUCGUGCAGCCCCGACUGCCUUAACACACAUCCAUCUCACCCCUAUGUGCACAACCGCGCGGCUCCCCCGGUGCCCUGUCCGGUGGAGGUCUUACGUUUUCAGACUAACUUUGUAUGCAGAGAAGUAUAUAUAAUUUGUCUUUGAGGUCACUCUAUCAACACGACUUUCAACAAAGGAUCGCUUGUCGCUCGCAUCGAUGACUAACC
rnacentral:misc_RNA from 1 species